rnacentral:rRNA from 1 species
UACGUAGGGUGCGAGCGUUAAUCGGAAUUACUGGGCGUAAAGCGUGCGUAGGCGGUUUGUUAAGACAGGUGUGAAAUCCCCGGGCUUAACCUGGGAACUGCGCUUGUUACUGGCAGACUGGAGUGUGGCAGAGGGGGGGUGGAAUUCCAGGUGUAGCAGUGAAAUGCGUAGAUAUCUGGAGGAACACCGAUGGCGAAGGCAGCCCCCUGGGCUAACACUGACGCUGAGACGCGAAAGCGUGGGGAGCAAACAGG